CUGGUACUCCCUCCGUUCGGAAUUACUUGUCACAGAAAUGGAUGUAUCUAGAUGUAUUUUAGUUCUAGAUACAUCCAUUUCCGAGACAAGUAAUUCCGAACGGAGGGAGUAGGUG
rnacentral:pre_miRNA from 1 species